rnacentral:rRNA from 1 species
GACGAACGCUGGCGGCGUGCUUAACACAUGCAAGUCGAACGGAAAGGCCCUGCUUUUGUGGGGUGCUCGAGUGGCGAACGGGUGAGUAACACGUGAGUAACCUGCCCUUGACUUUGGGAUAACUUCAGGAAACUGGGGCUAAUACCGGAUAGGAGCUCCUGCUGCAUGGUGGGGGUUGGAAAGUUUCGGCGGUUGGGGAUGGACUCGCGGCUUAUCAGCUUGUUGGUGGGGUAGUGGCUUACCAAGGCUUUGACGGGUAGCCGGCAUGAGAGGGUGACCGGCCACAUUGGGACUGAGAUACGGCCCAGACGCCUACGGGAGGCAGCAGUGGGGAAUAUUGCACAAUGGGCGGAAGCCUGAUGCAGCAACGCCGCGUGCGGGAUGACGGCCUUCGGGUUGUAAACCGCUUUCGCCUGUGACGAAGCGUGAGUGACGGUAAUGGGUAAAGAAGCACCGGCUAACUACGUG